UCGAACGAAUCCCUGGGUGUAGCAAUACAUCUGAGGGGGAAGUGGCGAAAGGGGCAGUAAGGCGUGGGUAACCUACCCCGGGGAUGGGCAUAGCCGUUCUAACGGACGGGUAAUUCCCAGCGAUCCGGCGAAGGGGCAUCUCUUUGCCGGGAAAUGAGUUUCGCCUCGGGAGGGGCUCACGUGCUAUUAGCUGGUUGGCGGGGUAACGGCCCACCAAGGCUAAGAUGGCUAGCGGGUGUGAGAGCACGACCCGCGCCACUGGCACUGAGACACUGGCCAGACACCUACGGGUGGCUGCAGUCGAGGAUCUUCGUCAAUGGGCGCAAGCCUGAACGAGCGACGCCGCGUGGGCGAUGAAGGCCUUCGGGUUGUAAAGCCCUGUCGAGGGGGAGAAAAGCGCAAGCUUGAUCGAUCCCUGGAGGAAGCACGGGCUAAGUUCGUGCCAGCAGCCGCGGUAAGACGAACCGUGCGAACGUUGUUCGGAAUCACUGGGCUUAAAGGGCGCGUANGCGGCUCGCGAGGUCGGGGGUGAAAUCCCACGGCUUAACCGUGGAAGGGCCUUCGAUACCGGCGGGCUGGAGGAGGGUA
rnacentral:rRNA from 1 species